GAGGAAGUAAAAGUCGUAACAAGGUCUCCGUUGGUGAACCAGCGGAGGGAUCAUUG
rnacentral:rRNA from 1 species